rnacentral:lncRNA from 1 species
UAAACCGAAGGUGGGGUUGCUCCUGCAAGACCCUCCGACGCUCAAGUCAGUUCUCUGCCUCAACAAGAAUGGAGCGCUCGAACGGAGAAUUUAGCAGAGUUUUUAGAUAAAAAGAUGAGAGCUUAGAUAAUAACGUAUCUGGGGUUCCCCUUUUUAUAGGCGGAGGGUGCCACAGACUGAUAGCGACGUUCGUAAUCAUCUGGUAGUGGGUCGCCCAUAGUCAGGCAAAAUUUAUUGCGAAGGGUAGUGGAGCGGAAUCGUGGCUAUUGCCGUAGCUCGCCAUGUGGAAUCAGUUGCGAGGAGUGGAGCAGCGUCCGUUGUCGUGACUUGCCAGC